rnacentral:rRNA from 1 species
UACGUAGGGUGCGAGCGUUGUCCGGAAUUAUUGGGCGUAAAGAGCUCGUAGGCGGUGUGUCGCGUCGGCCGUGAAAACCUGCAGCUUAACUGUGGGCGUGCGGUCGAUACGGGCAUCACUGGAGUUCGGCAGGGGAGACUGGAAUUCCUGGUGUAGCGGUGAAAUGCGCAGAUAUCAGGAGGAACACCGGUGGCGAAGGCGGGUCUCUGGGCCGAUACUGACGCUGAGGAGCGAAAGCAUGGGUAGCGAACAGG